rnacentral:rRNA from 1 species
CGUAAUAAUAGAAACUAACCAGGAUUCCCUUAGUAACGGCGAGUGAACUGGGAUGCCAAUAUAAAAUAUGUACCUCGCGUGCAUAAAUUAGCCCGUCGAUACUAUCCUAGCGUAUGUACCGGUCUUCGGGUCGGUACUCAAAUACGCGGGAAUUGUAGCAUCGUAAUAAAAAAAAAAAAAUAUAUACAGCACGCACACACACACACUGCCAACAUGCGUACCACUUGUAAACACACAGCGUCUCCGCGUUGAAAAGCAAGUUUAUAUCCUCUUUGGAUAUGCCAUAGAGUGUGACAGCCACGUUUCACCCUAAUAUAAGUACGCACACACACACACACACAUACACACGGCUCGUGCGAGUGCAAUACGUAUAUAUUCUAUAACCUGAGUCGAGUUAUUU